CUACGGGUGGCUGCAGUAAGGAAUAUUGCACAAUGGGGGGAACCCUGAUGCAGCAACGCCGCGUGGAGGAUGACGCAUUUCGGAGUGUAAACUCCUUUUAUAUGUCAAGAAAAUGACGGUAGCAUAUGAAUAAGCACCGGCUAACUCCGUGCCAGCGAGCCGCGGUAAUACGGAGGGUGCAAGCGUUACUCGGAAUCACUGGGCGUAAAGGACGCGUAGGCGGGUUGGAAAGUCAGGUGUGAAAUCCUACAGCUUAACUGUAGAACUGCACUUGAAACUUCUAAUCUAGAGUAUGGGAGGGGGAGAUGGAAUUAGUGGUGUAGGGGUAAAAUCCGUAGAUAUCACUAGGAAUACCUAAAGCGAAGGCGAUCUCCUGGAACAUUACUGACGCUAAGGCGUGAAAGCGUGGGGAGCAAACAGGAUUAGAUACCCGCGUAGUC
rnacentral:rRNA from 1 species